UACAGAGGUCUCGAGCGUUGUUCGGAUUCAUUGGGCGUAAAGGGCGCGUAGGCGGCGGGGUAAGUCUGGUGUGAAAUCUCGGAGCUCAACUCCGAAAUUGCAUUGGAUACUGCUCUGCUAGAGGGCUGGAGAGGAGAUCGGAAUUCACGGUGUAGCAGUGAAAUGCGUAGAUAUCGUGAGGAAGACCAGUGGCGAAGGCGGAUCUCUGGACAGCUCCUGACGCUGAGGCGCGAAGGCUAGGGGAGCAAACGGG
rnacentral:rRNA from 1 species